UCCAUCACCGAUUGCUGUGCUGGCUAUUGGGUUGACUCUCCGUCUGACGAGAGGCGGCGGCGUUGGAGAGUUGGAAUGAUGCUUGCUUUGGUGGCAUAAUAAAGAUUAGACCCUUCCUUUAUCGUUGCGGCUCGUUUCGGCUAGAUCGGAAGGUAAACGACUGGUUUUUGCGUAGAGAGUGCUAGAGUGACCUGUAAAAGAAGUCUGAGCAGAAAGUUUUCGCUCAUGCGAGUGCCCUUCGAUGCUCAAGUCAAAUUCAGAGAACAAAAAAAAAGCAACAACGAAUUCUCUACGAUGGAUUG
rnacentral:lncRNA from 1 species